rnacentral:rRNA from 1 species
CCUACGGGGGGCAGCAGUGGGGGAUAUUGCACAAUGGGGGAAACCCUGAUGCAGCGACGCCGCGUGGGUGAAGAAGCGCCUCGGCGCGUAAAGCCCUGUCAGCAGGGAAGAAAAUGACGGUACCUGAAGAAGAAGCCCCGGCUAACUACGUGCCAGCAGCCGCGGUAAUACGUAGGGGGCAAGCGUUAUCCGGAUUUACUGGGUGUAAAGGGGGCGCAGGCGGCGAUGCAAGCCAGGAGUGAAAGCCCGGGGCCCAACCCCGGGACUGCUCUUGGAACUGCGUGGGUAGAGUGCAGGAGGGGCAGGCGGAAUUCCUGGUGUAGCGGUGAAAUGCGUAGAUAUCAGGAGGAACACCGGUGGCGAAGGCGGCCUGCUGGACUGCAACUGACGUUGAGGCCCGAAAGCGUGGCGAGCAAACAGGAUUAGAUACCCCGGUAGUC